ensembl:snoRNA SNORA74 Small nucleolar RNA SNORA74
CCCAGUUGUAGGCAACUGCCUAGGUUGCCUUGUACCUAGGCAAGUGUUACACAUCUGGAAGAAAAACAACCAAUAGCUGGACAUUCUGGGCCUAGUUAAUGCCAAAUUUGUGUUCACUAUACCAGUGUGCAAACAUA